rnacentral:tRNA from 1 species
AGUUAAGUAUUCAAUUAUGAUUUAAAAUUGCAAAUUUUAAGGUACACUAGUGUUUUAACUU